GGCAGCAGUAGGGAAUCUUCGGCAAUGGGCGAAAGCCUGACCGAGCAACGCCGCGUGAAUGAUGAAGGCCUUCGGGUUGUAAAAUUCUGUUAUAAGGGAAGAACGACUUUAGUAGGAAAUGGCUAGAGUGUGACGGUACCUUAUGAGAAAGCCACGGCUAACUACGUGCCAGCAGCCGCGGUAAUACGUAGGUGGCGAGCGUUAUCCGGAAUUAUUGGGCGUAAAGAGCGCGCAGGUGGUUGAUUAAGUCUGAUGUGAAAGCCCACGGCUUAACCGUGGAGGGUCAUUGGAAACUGGUCGACUUGAGUGCAGAAGAGGGAAGUGGAAUUCCAUGUGUAGCGGUGAAAUGCGUAGAGAUAUGGAGGAACACCAGUGGCGAAGGCGGCUUCCUGGUCUGUAACUGACACUGAGGCGCGAAAGCGUGGGGAGCAAACAGGAUUAGAUACCCUGGUAGUCCACGCCGUAAACGAUGAGAAUCACUAGU
rnacentral:rRNA from 1 species